rnacentral:rRNA from 1 species
AGAGUUUGAUCCUGGCUCAGAACGAACGCUGGCGGCGUGCUUAACACAUGCAAGUCGAGUGCGCGCCUGUAGCAAUACAGGUGGCGCACGGCGCACGGGUGCGUAACACGUGGGCAAUCUGCCCUCUGAUGGGGAAUAACCCGCCGAAAGGGGGCUAAUACCGCAUAAAAUUCCUUGGACUUAUGUUCGAGGACUCAAAGGCGUAAGUCGUCGGAGGAGGAGCCCGCGCACGAUUAGCUAGUUGGUAGGGUAAUGGCCUACCAAGGCUUUGAUCGUUAGCUGGUCUGAGAGGAUGGCCAGCCACACUGGAACUGAGACACGGUCCAGACUCCUACGGGAGGCAGCAGUGGGGAAUCUUGCACAAUGGGCGAAAGCCUGAUGCAGCGACGCCGCGUGGGGGAUGAAGCAUUUCGGUGUGUAAACCCCUUUCGAUCCGGACGAAUGCCUCGCAAGAGGAGUGACGGUACGGAUAUAAGAAGCCCCGGCUAACUACGUGCCAGCAGCCGCGGUAAGACGUAGGGGGCCAGCGUUGUUCGGAAUUACUGGGUGUAAAGGGUUCGUAGGCGGUGUGGCAAGUUGGGUGUGAAAUCUCUGGGCUCAACCCAGAGACUGCUUCCAAAACUGCUGUGCUUGAGUGUGAGAGAGGCUCGUGGAAUUGCAGGUGUAGCGGUGAAAUGCGUAGAUAUCUGCAGGAACACCCGUGGCGAAAGCGGCGAGCUGGAUCACUACUGACGCUGAGGAACGAAAGCUAGGGGAGCAAACAGGAUUAGAUACCCUAGUAGUCC